UCCGCGUCUCACAUGACACAAGCCAAUACAGGAAGUGCCUGGGCAGCUAUUAGCGGCGAAAACAACAACAACCGUCACGAUACGAACUCAUCCAGCCGAACAAAAAUGGUCUUGUACCGCACAGGAAGCAAUUGAUAUUCAAGAUUAAAACAAAGUUCGUGGAAAGACGAAGAUGGAGGCGAAAGGAGCGCUCGGCGUCGCUCUUCUGUCUGUCAUUUCUCUAGUAUCGCAGGUAAAUUGCCAAGAAGCUGUUUUGCACAUCUCAAAUGGAAGUUUAGUUCGGGACUACUGCCUCGUCUACAAUCACUCCUGGACUCCUCUUGAAGAAACGCUUGAUAAAGCUAUGACGUACCAGCUGGUGAAUCUGACGUCCACCGUGCUGUGUGACGUCUCAGGAGUCCGACCAGAGGCGGUAGAGGGCAAAGCUCUGGUGGUGAUGAGGGGGGAAUGCGGAUUCAGCCAGAAGGCUAUCAUCGCCCAAAACCUUGGCGCUAAGGUGCUGCUUAUUGCGAGCAGCACAAACCUGGUCGCUCCAUCAGCCAACGAGUCAGAGUAUCUAAAGGUCCACAUUCCUCUGGCUCUCAUGAGGUACAGGGACUUCCUGACGGCCGAGCAUGUGUUUGGCGAAGGAAUGGAAGUGAAGCUGUACGCACCGCAGUACUCUAAGAUUGAUCUGAACAUCGUCGUCCUGCUGCUGAUCGCUAUAGCAACGGUGGCUUUGGGCGGCUUAUGGAGUAGAGCUUGUGAACGCGAGCGACUGAAGAGCUACGCUGCCAGAGGAGGAGCAGAAGAACACAAAACGGACGGCAGCAGAGUGCUCUACUCCCCCCUCAACAUCAUCAUCUUCGUCGUCGUGAUGUGCGGGAUGCUGGUGCUCAUGUACUACUUCUACAACGUCCUCGUUUACAUCAUUAUCACCAUCUUCUGCUUCGCCACUGCCUCAGCACUGUUCAGCUGCCUGGACGCGGUGCUGGACUUAAUCCGUUGUGGCACUUUAAGCUUUUCUGUGUACAACAAGAAUGUGUCAGUGAGAUCCAUCCUGCUGGCUGCUGUGUGCAUUACUGUCGCUGUGAUCUGGGGAGUGUACAGAAAUGAAGACAGGUGGAUCUGGAUCCUGCAGAACUUGCUUGGCAUUGCUUUUUGCCUCAACUUCAUGAAGACCAUCACACUGUCCAAUUUCAAGAUCUGUGUGAUCUUACUGAGUCUCCUCCUGCUGUAUGACGUCUUCUUUGUGUUCAUAACUCCUUUCUUCACAAAGAAUGGAGUCAGCAUCAUGGUGCAGGUUGCUCUCGGCCCCGACGCAUCUGGGGAGAAGACACAAGGUAACAUGGUGGAGAUCCCCGCUGAACCCCAGCCUCCUUCUGAGAAAAUACCCGUGGUGAUGCGUGUCCCGCGGUUCUUAGCUUGGACUCAGAACCUGUGUGGGCUGCAGUUCUCCAUCCUUGGUUACGGGGAUAUCAUUGUCCCAGGGCUCCUGGUGGCCUAUUGCAGCAGGUUUGACGUUUGGGUCAACAGCAGGAAGAAUGUCUACUUCAUCAGCUGUGUUUUUGCCUACCUCCUGGGACUUGUGCUGACCUUUGCAGUGAUGCUGCUGUCGGGGAUGGGCCAACCCGCCCUGCUCUACCUGGUGCCUUUCACCUUGAUAACCUCCGCCGUGGUUGCGGGCUGCAGGGGGGAGAUGAGGCAGUUCUGGACGGGAACGACAUACGAGCAGGUUUUGGAUUCAUCCAGGGAACCUUUGCUGCCAGGGUCAGUGUCUCGCUAAGACGCAAAUCCCAACAAAUGAAAACUGCCAUGUGGGACAUCAAAGUGUUUUCCACAAACAGACCACCAGAGGGAAGAACUGACCGGUCCAUAGGGGAAAGCUGCUGAGCUCCGACUGCUGGAAUCACUUUUUUUUUCUUUUUUUACAAUGUUUUUUAAUUUUUUUUUUUAUUUCACAUUUGCAUUGCAAGGGAACACUUCAUGUCUAUUCUGACUUUUCUGACAAAUUAGAAUCACUUUCACUGAUGUGAUCGGGAGCUUGGGAACUACCGGAUUGGCCCACAGGAGAUGUUUGAGUAUUUGAAAUGUCUUGUAGUGCCUGAGAGGUUUGUUAUGUUCACUAGCAGAAAUCAGCGAUGACUUCGCCUCACCGGUAAACGAAAUUAGAAAGCACUUUAUAGAAUCUGGCUUGACAGAAUGAGGGGGGUUUAAAUAACAUCUACCUGCAGAAUAAUAUAAGUUUGAUAACUGGGUUUUCUGUAUAAUCUUUUGUGUAAAAUAUGACUUUUUUCCCUUUGCCUUAUAAUAAAGAAACUACUUAAUCUCC